UGAGUCUUCGGACAAAUGAAAUAUAAACUUAGUGGCGGACGGGUGAGUAACGUGUGGGUAACCUACCCUAUACAGGAGGAUAACAGUAAGAAAUUAUUGCUAAAACUGCAUAAGAUUACGAGUUCGCAUGAACAAGUGAUAAAAACUUUAGUGGUAUAGGAUGGGCCCGCAUCUGAUUAGGUAGUUGGUGGAGUAAAAGCCUACCAAGCCGACGAUCAGUAGCCGAUCUGAGAGGAUGACCGGCCACAUUGGGACUGAGACACGGCCCAAACUCCUACGGGAGGCAGCAGUGGGGAAUAUUGGACAAUGGGGGAAACCCUGAUCCAGCGACGCCGCGUGAGUGAAGAAGUAUUUCGGUAUGUAAAGCUCUAUCAGCAGGGAAGAAAAUGACGGUACCUGACUAAGAAGCCCCGGCUAACUACGUGCCAGCAGCCGCGGUAAUACGUAGGGGGCAAGCGUUAUCCGGAUUUACUGGGUGUAAAGGGAGCGUAGACGGCGAUGUAAGUCUGAAGUGAGAGCCCACGGCUCAACUGUGGGACUGCUUUGGAAACUAUGUAGCUAGAGUAUCGGAGGGGCAAGCGGAAUUCCUAGUGUAGCGGUGAAAUGCGUAGAUAUUAGGAGGAACACCGGAGGCGAAGGCGGCUUGCUGGACGAAGACUGACGUUGAGGCUCGAAGGCGUGGGGAGCAAACAGGAUUAGAUACCCUGGUAGUCCACGCAGUAAACGAUGAAUACUAGAUGUCGGAGAGGUUACUUUUCGGUGUCGUCGCAAACGCA
rnacentral:rRNA from 1 species